rnacentral:rRNA from 1 species
AUUGAACGCUGGCGGCAUGCCUUACACAUGCAAGUCGAACGGUAACAGGUCUUCGGAUGCUGACGAGUGGUGAACGGGUGAGUAAUACAUCGGAACGUGCCCGAGAGUGGGGGAUAACGAAGCGAAAGCUUUGCUAAUACCGCAUACGAUCUCAGGAUGAAAGCAGGGGACCGCAAGGCCUUGCGCUCACGGAGCGGCCGAUGGCAGAUUAGGUAGUUGGUGGGAUAAAAGCUUACCAAGCCGACGAUCUGUAGCUGGUCUGAGAGGACGACCAGCCACACUGGGACUGAGACACGGCGCAGAAUCCUACGGGAGGCAGCAGUGGGGAAUUUUGGACAAUGGGCGCAAGCAUGAUCCAGCCAUGCCGCGUGCAGGAUGAAGGCCUUCGGGUUGUAAACUGCUUUUGUACGGAACGAAAAGACUCUGGUUAAUACCUGGGGUCCAUGACGGUACCGUAAGAAUAAGCACCGGCUAACUACGUGCCAGCAGCCGCAGUAA